AGAAAAUAAAGUCCAUCUUGACUGCAAAGAGUGGAAAAUAGUAGCCAUAUUAUAUUGAUAUUUAUGGUCACUUGCACCUCUCUGCAGUCAGACCCAGGAAUUUCUCUCCUUCAGCUUCAACAAGGACAUAGUCCUCAAAUAUAUGACAAAUAUACCUGAUGGAUCUCACUAACAAGUACAGAAUCUGUAUAAUGAAGGAAGGUAUGAGUGUUAAUUGAUCAGCUUAUUCUGAGAACAGAUGUUAGAACCUUUUAGACUAUACUAAAAAAGCCAGCCAAUAUAUGCUAAAAGUUUAUAGUAUGCAUGAUAUAUUUACUGGUAGUACAGUGUAUUAUGUACAAAAGUGAGAAAUACUGAGUAAUUGAGUUAAAAUAUCCUGGUGUUACUAAUAUUUAUAAACAUAAUUCAGCAUUUUAACACUUCUUUAGGGCUGGGAAUUUAGUCAGUUGGUUCCGCCGCCUGCCUCACAAGCGCAAGGUCCUGAGUUUGAUCCCCGGUACCAAAAACAAACAACAAAAAACCCCCCA
rnacentral:lncRNA from 1 species